rnacentral:rRNA from 1 species
CAGCAGCCACGGGAAUACAGAGGGUGCAAGCGUUAAUCGGAAUUACUGGGCGUAAAGCGCGCGUAGGUGGUUCGCCAAGUUGGAUGUGAAAUCCCCGGGCUCAACCUGGGAACUGCAUCCAAAACUGGCGAGCUAGAGUAUGGUAGAGGGUGGUGGAAUUUCCUGUGUAGCGGUGAAAUGCGUAGAUAUAGGAAGGAACAUCAGUGGCGAAGGCGACCACCUGGACUGAUACUGACACUGAGGUGCGAAAGCGUGGGGAGCAAACAGGAUUAGAUACCCCAGUAGUCCCUGUCUCUUAUAA